AACGACACUAGCUGCUAGUGGGCGACGAGUGGCGGACGGGUGAGUAACGCGUAGGAAUCUACCUAGUAGUGGGGGAUAGCCAAGGGAAACUUUGGGUAAUACCGCAUACGAUCUACGGAUGAAAGGGGGCCUCUCUUUGAAGCUCUCGCUAUCAGAUGAGCCUGCGUAAGAUUAGCUUGUUGGUGAGGUAAUGGCUCACCAAGGCUACGAUCUUUAGCUGGUCUGAGAGGAUGAUCAGUCACACUGGAACUGAGACACGGUCCAGACUCCUACGGGAGGCAGCAGUCGGGAAUAUUGGACAAUGGGGGCAACCCUGAUCCAGCCAUGCCGCGUGUGUGAAGAAGGCCCUAGGGUUGUAAAGCACUUUUAGUAGUGAGGAAGGCUCGGUAGUUAAUACCUGCCGGGAUUGACGUUAGCUACAGAAAAAGCACCGGCUAAUUCCGUGCCAGCAGCCGCGGUAAUACGGAAGGUGCAAGCGUUAAUCGGAAUUACUGGGCGUAAAGCGCGCGUAGGCUGUUAUCUAAGUCGGAUGUGAAAUCCUCGGGCUCAACCUGGGAACUGCAUCCGAAACUGAAUAAACUAGAGUAUGGGAGAGGUCAGUAGAAAUUCCGGUGUAGCGGUGAAAUGCGUAGAUAUCGGAAGGAAUACCAGUGGCGAAAGCGGCUUACUGGACCAAUAAUGACGCUGAGGUGCAACGCGUGGGAGCGAACGGAUAAAUACCUGAUAUCAGCCGUAACAAGA
rnacentral:rRNA from 1 species